AUUGAACGCUGGCGGCAGGCCUAACACAUGCAAGUCGAGCGAGCGGCGGACGGGUGAGUAAUGUCUGGGAAACUGCCUGAUGGAGGGGGAUAACUACUGGAAACGGUAGCUAAUACCGCAUACCAUCAGAUGUGCCCCGAUGGGAUUAGCUAGGAGGUGGGGUAACGGCUCACCUAGGCGACGAUCCCUAGCUGGUCUGAGAGGAUGACCAGCCAAACGGGAACUGGGAAACGGUCCAGACUCCUACGGGAGGCAGAAGUGGGGAAUAUUGCACAAUGGGCGCAAGCGUGAUGCAGCCAUGCCGCGUGUGUGAAGAAGGCCUUCGGGUUGUAAAGCACGUUCAGCGGGGAGGCGUUACCCGAAGAAGAAGCACCGGCUAACUCCGUGCCAGCAGCCGCGGUAAUAC
rnacentral:rRNA from 1 species